rnacentral:rRNA from 1 species
GACGAACGCUGGCGGCGUGCUUAACACAUGCAAGUCGAACGGUGAAGCGCCUUCCUUUUUGGUGGGUGUGGAUGAGUGGCGAACGGGUGAGUAACACGUGAGUAACCUGCCCCCUUCUUCUGGAUAACCGCAUGAAAGUGUGGCUAAUACGGGAUAUUCUGGGUCUGUCGCAUGAUGGGUCUGGGAAAGAUAUUGUUUCGGUGGGGGAUGGGCUCGCGGCCUAUCAGCUUGUUGGUGGGGUGAUGGCCUACCAAGGCGGUGACGGGUAGCCGGCCUGCGAGGGUGGCCGGUCACACUGGGACUGAGACACGGCCCGGACUCCUACGGGAGGCAGCAGUGGGGAAUAUUGCACAAUGGGCGCAAGCCUGAUGCAGCGACGCCGCGGGAGGGAUGGAGGCCUUCGGGUUGUGAACCUCUUUCGCCAGUGAAGCAGGCCUGCCUCGUUUGUGGGUGGGUUGACGGUAGCUGGAUAAGAAGCGCCGGCUAACUACGUG